rnacentral:misc_RNA from 1 species
GGAAGGAUCAUUCACGCAAUCAUCCAAUGUCAAGUAAAAGGGAUAUGCCGAGGUAUAUCACAAACCCAACCAAAGUUCCUGUGACUGCCUUAGUGCUUAAUUCAAGUGUCACUGCUUGUAGGAUAAAACACACUGAAGUUCAUGACGAUUGAUGCCUUGGUUCAGGAAUCGAUGAAGGACGCAGCAAAGUGCGAUAAGCACUGUGAAUUGCAGAAUUCAGCGAAUCAGCAGAUCUCUCAACGCAAAUGGUGCCAGGUAAACUCGUUUACUUGGCAGUCAUGCUUCAGUAUUGCACUUAAUGCUCUAAACAAGCAUUUUUGUUAUCUUGUUCAUGAUUGAAUAUGAGUCUCGGCUGAUAUUUAAUCUGUCACAGAUAACGUGAAGUUCGCUAAGUAAUACUGGCGAAUGGGAAUAGCUCAAUGUUAUUAACCUAGUUAAGCAUUAGAGCAACUGCUAAUCAAUCUGAAGUAUGUCAGACUACCCGCUGAACUUAAGCAUAUCAUUAAGCGGAGGAAAAGAAACUAACUAGGAUUCCCUUAGUAAUGGCGAAUGAAACGGGAAGAGCUCAGUGGUGAAUCAGGUGUUUACAUCUGAAAUGUACCAUUAGGGGUAGCCAGAGCAUUGCGAAGUUUAACUCCUCUGGAAUGAGGGACCAUAGAGGGUGAUAGUCCCGUAUACACUUCUGCUUGCUCGUCCGGCUGCUUCUGUAUUGAGUCGCGCUCUUUGGGAGUAGAGCGUAAAAGGGUGGUAGAUUCCAUCCAAAGCUAAAUAUUUUCCUGAAACCAAUAGAGAACAAGUACCAUGAGGGAAAGGUGAAAAGAACUUUGAAAAGAGGGUUAAAAGUGCCUGAGAUCGUCAUGGAGAAAGCGGAUGUCGUCCGGUGUCUCGACUUGAUUCGUGCGGAUUAUGCUACAGUGAAGCAGCAUUUGCUUAGCACCUGCUGUGAAACUGUCAAGUAUAUGAAACGCGAUUUCAUGUUGGGUAUGUGGUACCUGUUGGGUCGCGCGUUGACACAGGUGAUGACGGAUGCCCUCGGGUGUCUUGUUCCAUCUGAGACGUGGACCUGACAGUGCUGAAGGCUGGCGUCCAACUAUAUGUCACGGAGUUGGGGUACGUGCAAAUUGUCUCUCUGAGACCAUGCGUACGUUAUCUCUCUCUGGGAUGUGUAGCGUCGUUAGCCAUAGUACCACCAAAGGAUGGUAUCCGACCCGUCUUGAAACACGGACCAAGGAGUCUACCGUAUAUGCGAGUGUGUGAGAUCUCAAUCUUCCGCGCGUAACGAAAGUGAUAUCUCCUUAAGUGCUUGCACUUGUAGGAGGUACCAACCCAGAUCUUCGGAGAUGGGCUUGAGUAUGAGCAUAUACGAUAGGACCCGAAAGAUGGUGAACUAUGCCUGAGUAGGGUGAAGCCAGGGGAAACUCUGGUGGAAGCUCGUAGCGAUACUGACGUGCAAAUCGUUCGUCAAACUUGGGUAUAGGGGCGAAAGACUAAUCGAACCAUCUAGUAGCUGGUUCCCUC